AAAUAGGAAUAGAUAUAGGGACAGGGGGAUGGAAAGAAAUAAUGAUCAGGAAAAGGACAGAACCUAUGUUUUCACUGAUAAAGGCAAUUUCAAGCACCAGUUCCACACCACAAAUUAUUGGACAUUUUGAACUGGAUGAACUAGAGGAAGAAGCAAAACAAUGGUUGGAAGAAAAAAAAGAAGUCACACCUAAAAAGAGAGCUCAAAUGACUCAACCUGCAAAAGAGUGGGAAUAAGAGUGACUAAUUGCCCUGCACCAGAAGAGAACCACACCAUCAUAUCACUUCUUAUAUGCAAGAAGGAGUAGAAAAGGUAUCAUCCCAUAAGAGAACAAUUAGAGAAAGAAAGAGAUGGAUUUUUAAAUAAGAUGAGAAUGAGGAAAAAUAAAUGGAGAAUAUGAGUCCUACAUUGGCAUACAUUCACAUGAUGUUGAAGAAAUUUAGAGACAGGUUUCUAUCAUAUUGGGUAAGCCUACAAUGGAGAAUAUGGGGGGAAAAGAGUUGCACAGAAGACAAUUGGUUUAUUAUGGGUCUAUUUCAUGCCAGCUCCUGGAAAUAUUUUUAGUUGUUUUUCAAUUGUUUCUGACUGUGAUCCCAUUUAGGGUUUUAUAAAUAAAGAUACUA